GAUGAAGAACGUAGCGAAUUGCGAUAAGUAAUGUGAAUUGCAGAAUUCAGUGAAUCAUCGAAUCUUUGAACGCACCUUGCGCUCCUUGGUAUUCCGAGGAGCAUGCCUGUUUGAGUGUCAUGAAAUUCUCAACCUUUUCAGCUUUCUUUGUUGAUCAGGCUUGGAUGUGGGAGUAUGCGGGCUUCUCAGAAGUCGGCUCUCCUGAAAUGCAUUAGCGGGACCUUUGUUGCCUGGCUUUGGUGUGAUAAUUAUCUACGCCAUUGUAGUCAAGCAGCUUAAAAUGAGGUUUCAGCUUCUAACCGUCUCCCCUGAGACAACUUUUUGACAAUUUGACCUCAAAUCAGGUAGGACUACCCGCUGAACUUAAGCAUAUCAAUAAGCGGAGGA
rnacentral:misc_RNA from 1 species